rnacentral:ncRNA from 1 species
CGAUUUCAUUGCGUCUGUGGUUCUGGAUUAAAUAUUCAUCCGGAUGAAAAGGGAACAACAAAUGGAAAACCUCUCUAUGGGGGUUUCCCUGAUGUGGCUGUCCCCGCAACUGUAGGCGGAGAGUCCUUGCCGAUACACCACUGCCAAGGCAACGUCUUGCCUGACGGGAAGGUGGCACAGGAUGUUGACCCGCAAGCCAGGAGACCUGCCACAGACAGCGUCACGUC